rnacentral:rRNA from 1 species
UACGGAGGGAGCUAGCGUUGUUCGGAUAUACUGGGCGUAAAGCGCACGUAGGCGGCGCCGUAAGUCAGGGGUGAAAUCCCGGAGCUCAACUCCGGAACUGCCCUUGAAACUGCAGUGCUAGAAUCCUGGAGAGGCGAGUGGAAUUCCGAGUGUAGAGGUGAAAUUCGCAGAUAUCAGGAGGAACACCAAUGGCGAAGGCAGCUCGCUGGGACGUGACUGACGCUGAGACGCGAAAGCGUGGGGAGCAAACAGG